UACGGAGGGAGCUAGCGUUGUUCGGAAUUACUGGGCGUAAAGCGCACGUAGGCGGCUUUUGUAAGUUAGAGGUGAAAGCCUGGGGCUCAACUCCAGAACUGCCUUUAAAAACUGCAUCGCUUGAAUCCAGGAGAGGUGAGUGGAAUUCCGAGUGUAGAGGUGAAAAUUCGUAGAUAUUCGGAAGAACACCAGUGGCGAAGGCGACUAACUGGACAUGUAUUGACGCUGAGGUGCGAAAGCG
rnacentral:rRNA from 1 species